AUUGAACGCUGGCGGCCGGCCUAACACAUGCAAGUCGAACGAGUGGCGGACGGGUGAGUAAUGUCUGGGAAACUGCCUGAUGGAGGGGGAUAACUCCUGGAAACGGUAGCUAAUACCGCAUACCAUCGGAUGUGCCCAGAUGGGAUUAGCUCGUAGGUGGGGUAACGGCUCACGUAGGCGACGAUCCCUAGCUGGUCUGAGAGGAGUACCAGCCACACGGGAACUGAGACACGGUCCAGACUCCGACGGGAGGCAGCAGUGGGGAAUAUUGCACAAUGGGCGCAAGCCUGAUGCAGCCAUGCCGCGUGUGUGAAGAAGGCCUUCGGGUUGUAAAGUACUUUCAGCGGGGAGGCGUUACCCGCAGAAGAAGCACCGGCUAACUCCGUGCCAGCAGCCGCGGUAAUUC
rnacentral:rRNA from 1 species